rnacentral:lncRNA from 1 species
GUGUCCCCCGAGCAGGUUCCGGACCACCUCGCAGCGCCGCGUCCUUAGGGGCGGGCUCGGGGGGCACCACCCUCGAGGGGCGGAACCCGUGGGGGCGGUGGCGUGGAUCCGGAGGUACCUGCUUCUUAAAUGCUGCAUUGAAAGGAUGAAACAGAACGGAUGUGAACAAGAGUUCCCUGAGAAAGGACAGCUCUUAGAGAGAUAGGAUAAUUACUGGACUCAAGAAGAUACCAAAUCAUGGUGUGCAUUUCUGCGUUGUGUUUGGAAGAGGAACUAGGAUUGUUAUGAAAAGGAAGGAUGUGUUCAACUUAGAAGAAUUAA